GAAGAAAAAUGUUGAAACUUUUGCUGCAUGGGGAAUAGAUUACCUCAAGUAUGACAACUGCAACAAUGGAGAUUUGAAACCCAUGGAGAGAGUGACUAAAAGUCUUGAAAAGAACACCAUAUGCACCA